rnacentral:rRNA from 1 species
UACGAAGGGUGCAAGCGUUACUCGGAAUUACUGGGCGUAAAGCGUGCGUAGGUGGUUUGUUAAGUCUGUUGUGAAAGCCCCGGGCCCAACCUGGGAAUGGCAAUGGAUACUGGCAAGCUAGAGUGCGGUAGAGGGUAGUGGAAUUCCCGGUGUAGCGGUGAAAUGCGUAGAGAUCGGGAGGAACACCAGUGGCGAAGGCGGCUACCUGGACCAGCACUGACACUGAGGCACGAAAGCGUGGGGAGCAAACAGG